rnacentral:rRNA from 1 species
AUCUUGGAGAGUUUGAUCCUGGCUCAGGACGAACGCUGGCGGCGUGCUUAACACAUGCAAGUCGAACGGAGAGACAUGGAAGCUUGCUUCUAUGAAUCU